rnacentral:rRNA from 1 species
AUUGAACGCUGGCGGCAUGCCUUACACAUGCAAGUCGAACGGUAACAGGUUAAGCUGACGAGUGGCGAACGGGUGAGUGAUAUAUCGGAACGUGCCCAGUCGUGGGGGAUAACGCAGCGAAAGCUGUGCUAAUACCGCAUACGAUCUACGGAUGAAAGCGGGGGAUCGCAAGACCUCGCGCGAUUGGAGCGGCCGAUAUCAGAUUAGCUAGUUGGUGGGGUAAAAGCCCACCAAGGCGACGAUCUGUAGCUGGUCUGAGAGGACGACCAGCCACACUGGAACUGAGACACGGUCCAGACUCCUACGGGAGGCAGCAGUGGGGAAUUUUGGACAAUGGGCGAAAGCCUGAUCCAGCCAUUCCGCGUGCAGGAUGAAGGCCCUCGGGUUGUAAACUGCUUUUGUACAGAACGAAAAGGUUUCUACUAAUACUAGGAGCUCAUGACGGUACUGUAAGAAUAAGCACCGGCUAACUACGUGCCAGCCGCCGCGGUAA